CCUACGGGAGGCAGCAGUGAGGAAUAUUGGUCAAUGGACGAAAGUCUGAACCAGCCAAGUAGCGUGAAGGAUGACUGCCCUAUGGGUUGUAAACUUCUUUUAUAUGGGAAUAAAAUGUUCCACGUGUGGGACUUUGUCUGUACCAUAUGAAUAAGGACCGGCUAACUCCGUGCCAGCAGCCGCGGUAAUACGGAGGAUCCGAGCGUUAUCCGGAUUUAUGGGGUUUAAAGGGAGCGUAGGUGGAGUGUUAAGUCAGUUGUGAAAGUUUGCGGCUCAACCGUGAAAUUGCAGUUGAAACUGGCAGUCUUGAGUACAGUGGAGGUAGGCGGAAGUCGUUGUGUAGCGGUGAAAUGCUUAGAUAUGACGAAGAACUCCGAUUGCGAAGGCAGCUUACUGGACCGCAACUGACACUGAGGCUCGAAAGUGCGGGUAUCAAACAGGAUUAGAUACCCGAGUAGUC
rnacentral:rRNA from 1 species